rnacentral:rRNA from 1 species
GAUGAACGCUGGCGGCGUGCCUAAUACAUGCAAGUCGAGCGAACGGACGAGAAGCUUGCUUCUCUGAUGUUAGCGGCGGACGGGUGAGUAACACGUGGAUAACCUACCUAUAAGACUGGGAUAACUUCGGGAAACCGUAGCUAAUACCGGAUAAUAUUUUGAACCGCAUGGUUCAAAAGUGAAAGACGGUCUUGCUGUCACUUAUAGAUGGAUCCGCGCUGCAUUAGCUAGUUGGUAAGGUAACGGCUUACCAAGGCAACGAUGCAUAGCCGACCUGAGAGGGUGAUCGGCCACACUGGAACUGAGACACGGUCCAGACUCCUACGGGAGGCAGCAGUAGGGAAUCUUGCGCAAUGGGCGAAAGCCUGACGGAGCAACGCCGCGUGAGUGAUGAAGGUCUUCGGAUCGUAAAACUCUGUUAUUAGGGAAGAACAUAUGUGUAAGUAACUGUGCACAUCUUGACGGUACCUAAUCAGAAAGCAACGGCUAACUACGUG